GUAGGGCGGGACACGUGGUAUCCUGUCUGAAUAUGGGGGGACCAUCCUCCAAGGCUAAAUACUCCUGACUGACCGAUAGUGAACCAGUACCGUGAGGGAAAGGCGAAAAGAACCCCGGCGAGGGGAGUGAAAAAGAACCUGAAACCGUGUACGUACAAGCAGUGGGAGCCUCUUUAUGGGGUGACUGCGUACCUUUUGUAUAAUGGGUCAGCGACUUAUAUUCUGUAGCAAGGUUAACCGAAUAGGGGAGCCGAAGGGAAACCGAGUCUUAACUGGGCGUUAAGUUGCAGGGUAUAGACCCGAAACCCGGUGAUCUAGCCAUGGGCAGGUUGAAGGUUGGGUAACACUAACUGGAGGACCGAACCGACUAAUGUUGAAAAAUUAGCGGAUGACUUGUGGCUGGGGGUGAAAGGCCAAUCAAACCGGGAGAUAGCUGGUUCUCCCCGAAAGCUAUUUAGGUAGCGCCUCGUGAAUUCAUCUCCGGGGGUAGAGCACUGUUUCGGCAAGGGGGUCAUCCCGACUUACCAACCCGAUGCAAACUGCGAAUACCGGAGAAUGUUAUCACGGGAGACACACGGCGGGUGCUAACGUCCGUCGUGAAGAGGGAAACAACCCAGACCGCCAGCUAAGGUCCCAAAGUCAUGGUUAAGUGGGAAACGAUGUGGGAAGGCCCAGACAGCCAGGAUGUUGGCUUAGAAGCAGCCAUCAUUUAAAGAAAGCGUAAUAGCUCACUGGUCGAGUCGGCCUGCGCGGAAGAUGUAACGGGGCUAAACCAUGCACCGAAGCUGCGGCAGCGACACUAUGUGUUGUUGGGUAGGGGAGCGUUCUGUAAGCCUGUGAAGGUGGCCUGUGAGGGUUGCUGGAGGUAUCAGAAGUGCGAAUGCUGACAUAAGUAACGAUAAAGCGGGUGAAAAGCCCGCUCGCCGGAAGACCAAGGGUUCCUGUCCAACGUUAAUCGGGGC
rnacentral:rRNA from 1 species